UGUUAGUGCAUGGUUGACUGCUAUAAACUUCAGCUUUUAUCUUCUUCUUCUUCUUUUCAGUUAUCAUCCUUAUUUUUUAUUUUAUUUUUGGAUCAACCUUAGAGUUUUGAGCUGGUAAGCUGCAUUUUGUGUUAAUUAAUUACCUUUGAAAUCAAGGGAAGAUGAUUUAUGGAAAAGCAUUCAGUCUAGUUAAACUCUUUCUGUUUAUUAUAAUUCUUGAGUAUCAUCUCCCUGCCAUGAGACUCCAACUAAGCUUCAUUUCUAGUAUCUAUUUUGUCAUUUGGGAUGUUAGCUUUUGAUAUGACCUUUCUCAUAUGUAAACAAGAGAUGUUAGCUUUUUGCAUUUAGUGAGGGUCUAUUUGGAAGGGGUGAGGACAAGGCAAGUAAUGAAAGAGUAAGAAAGGAUAAGGAAGAG
rnacentral:misc_RNA from 1 species